rnacentral:rRNA from 1 species
UACGAAGGGGGCUAGCGUUGCUCGGAAUCACUGGGCGUAAAGCGCACGUAGGCGGAUUGCUAAGUCAGGGGUGAAAUCCUGGAGCUCAACUCCAGAACUGCCUUUGAUACUGGCGAUCUCGAGUCCGGGAGAGGUGAGUGGAACUGCGAGUGUAGAGGUGAAAUUCGUAGAUAUUCGCAAGAACACCAGUGGCGAAGGCGGACUCACUGGCCCGGUACUGACGCUGAGGUGCGAAAGCGUGGGGAGCGAACAGGA